rnacentral:rRNA from 1 species
GCAGUAGCCGCGGUAAUACGUAGGGUGCAAGCGUUAAUCGGAAUUACUGGGCGUAAAGCGUGCGCAGGCGGUUUGUUAAGACAGAUGUGAAAUCCCCGGGCUCAACCUGGGAACUGCAUUUGUGACUGGCAGGCUAGAGUAUGGCAGAGGGGGGUGGAAUUCCGCGUGUAGCAGUGAAAUGCGUAGAUAUGCGGAGGAACACCGAUGGCGGAGGCAGCCCCCUGGGCCAAUACUGACGCUCAUGCACGAAAGCGUGGGGAGCAAACAGGAUUAGAUACCCCUGUAGUCCCUGUCUCUUAUAC